rnacentral:lncRNA from 1 species
AAAAUGUUGAAUAUCAACAAUGAGUUUCAGUGCUGUAUUGUUGAGUUUUGUAUGAACUAAUCUUGCCUCACUAAAAAAGACCUACAGCUUGGACAAAAGUCUAUAGCCAGUGCAUUCCUAGCUCCCCUUGCACUAAGGCAGGCUGAGGCAGAGGGGAAGACAUUUUAGUCUUGUGCUCUUCUAGUUGCUAAAGCGCUGGGCUGCCGGGCUGUGGGAGUCAUGAGGCGGCCCUGCUUCACUCGAUAUGGACUCAGGGGGAGAGAACCAUGGAUGUGCAGGUCUAGGCCCUUAGAGCAGUGAGGGGGAAAGGGGUAACGAGCGAAACACCAGCGUUCAGCGAGCAGCUUGAGCGGCGGUACGCUGAAGUAAGAGCACUGGCUUUUGGAAAAACCUGCAGACUACGGGGCGAGUAAAGAGAGAGAGACAGCCUACCGCUGUUUCGGUCGAGCAGAGAGCGGGAUCUCCGGCGGCUGAAGAGUGGUUCUUGAAUCGGCCAGAUACUGUUCCAUCCUCUUUUCUGCCAAUCAAGCAAAGAUGAGGACAACACCCAAACUGGCACGAUAACAGCGCCGUAUUCGAAGAGGACCCAAUUGUUCCAAAAGGCCUUGAUUUUGCUCCGCCGCGGUCCGCGCGGAGGCUGCCGCAGCUGUGGACAGCAACAGGUGUGUUAUCGGUGUUUGCUAAUUCGGGAUCCUUGGGACGUCCCAACUCUGACCUUACCCGAUCGACGGUUAAGAGAAAAGGUGAGAGGACCCUGCUGA